CGGGGGGUGCGAGCGUUGUCCGGAAUCACUGGGCGUAAAGGGCGCGUAGGUGGUCUGAUAAGGGUGUGGUGAAAGCCCGGGGCUCAACCCCGGGUCGGCCGUGCCGACUGUUAGACUAGAGUGCUGUAGGGGGCAGGCGGAAUUCCGGGUGUAGCGGUGGAAUGCGUAGAGAUCCGGAGGAAGACCGGUGGCGAAGGCGGCCUGCUGGGCAGUUACUGACACUGAGGCGCGACAGCGUGGGGAGCAAACAGGAUUAGAUACCCUGGUAGUCCACGCCGUAAACGAUGGGUACUAGGUGCCUGGGGGAGCGACCCCUUGGGUGCCGGCGCUAACGCAGGAAGUACCCCGCCUGGGGAGUACGACCGCAAGGUUG
rnacentral:rRNA from 1 species